AUUAGGAGUAUUUUACUUAUAAAAGAUGGAGUAUAAGCUUUACAAGGAAAAAGAAAAAGUAAAGGUGCCUGACAAUAAUUGCUCUUCAACCAUUUUUAUUUUCCUAAUCAUCAAACGCAAAGUCCUCAACAAACAGGAAAAUCUACUGGAGGAGCCUCCAAUGAUUCCAAUUCACUAACUCCGUUUUCCACGAUGAACGCCAUCGCCAAACCCCACGUGAUGUGAACAUCCAAGUGACAGUGCAUUAUCCAUACUCCUGUUUUAAGUAAAAUAUUGUGGUACAGCUGGGAAAUCAGCUGAGAAAACACCAGGUAUGCCUUGGUGAUGUGCUUGCAGAAGGGAAAAGUUGGAUGGUAGCACAAAAGAUACAUUGUUCAUACUGGCAGCGAAUCGAGUUCCAUUU